GUUUUUCGCUUGAGGAUGAGCCCAUGUGGGAUUAGCUAGUUGGUAAGGUAAUGGCUUACCAAGGCUACGAUCCCUAACUGGUCUUAGAGGAUGAUCAGUCACACUGGAACUGAGACACGGUCCAGACUCCUACGGGAGGCAGCAGUAGGGAAUAUUGCACAAUGGGGGAAACCCUGAUGCAGCGACGCCGCGUGAGUGAUGAAGGCCUUCGGGUCGUAAAGCUCUGUCGUAUGGGACUAACAAAAUG
rnacentral:rRNA from 1 species